CCUACGGGAGGCAGCAGUGAGGAAUAUUGGUCAAUGGCCGAGAGGAUGAACCAGCCAAGUCGCGUGAGGGAAGACGGCCCUACGGGUUGUAAACCUCUUUUGUCGGGGAGCAAAGCGAACCACGUGUGGUUCAUUGAGAGUACCCGAAGAAAAAGCAUCGGCUAACUCCGUGCCAGCAGCCGCGGUAAUACGGAGGAUGCGAGCCUUAUCCGUAGUUAUUGGGUUAAAAGGGUGCGCAGGCGGAGGUGGAAGUGCGCGGUAAAAUUGCGGGGCUCAACCUCGGACUGCCGUUGAAACUGCAUCCCUUGAGUGCGCGAGAAGUAUGCGGAAGGCGUGGUGUAGCGGUGAAAUGCAUAGAUAUCACGCAGAACUCCGAUUGCGAAGGAAGCAUACCGGCGCGCAACUGACGCUCAUGCACGAAAGCGUGGGUAUCGAACAGGAUUAGAUACCCGGGUAGUC
rnacentral:rRNA from 1 species